AGAGUUUGAUCCUGGCUCAGGACGAACGCUGGCGGCGUGCUUAACACAUGCAAGUCGAACGGUGAAGCCCUUCGGGGUGGAUCAGUGGCGAACGGGUGAGUAACACGUGGGCAAUCUGCCCUGCACUCUGGGACAAGCCCUGGAAACGGGGUCUAAUACCGGAUACGACCACGGAGCGCAUGCUCGGUGGUGGAAAGCUCCGGCGGUGCAGGAUGAGCCCGCGGCCUAUCAGCUUGUUGGUGGGGUGACGGCCCACCAAGGCGACGACGGGUAGCCGGCCUGAGAGGGCGACCGGCCACACUGGGACUGAGACACGGCCCAGACUCCUACGGGAGGCAGCAGUGGGGAAUAUUGCACAAUGGGCGCAAGCCUGAUGCAGCGACGCCGCGUGAGGGAUGACGGCCUUCGGGUUGUAAACCUCUUUCAGCAGGGAAGAAGCGCAAGUGACGGUACCUGCAGAAGAAGCACCGGCUAACUACGUGCCAGCAGCCGCGGUAAUACGUAGGGUGCGAGCGUUGUCCGGAAUUAUUGGGCGUAAAGAGCUCGUAGGCGGCCUGUCGCGUCGGAUGUG
rnacentral:rRNA from 1 species